rnacentral:rRNA from 1 species
CAGCCGCGGUAAGACGUAGGGGGCGAGCGUUGUCCGGAAUCACUGGGCGUAAAGGGCGCGUAGGCGGCGCUGCACGUCCGAGGUGAAAGGCAGCGGCUCAACCGCUGUUGGGCUUCGGAUACGGCAGGGCUUGAGGGCCGGAGAGGCAAGGGGAAUUCCUGGUGUAGCGGUGAAAUGCGUAGAGAUCAGGAGGAAUACCGGUGGCGAAGGCGCCUUGCUGGACGGCACCUGACGCUGAGGCGCGAAAGCGUGGGGAGCGAA